GUCCUCAUAGUUCAAUGGAUAGAACGAGAGACUCCUAAGCUCUAGAUCCAGGUUCGAUUCCUGGUGAGGACACCA
rnacentral:tRNA from 2 species